rfam:Clostridium sp. C105KSO13 isolate C105KSO131 genome assembly, contig: {contig106}
GUGAACUGAUAAUUUGAUAAGUGGAAUGAUAGGGUAACGCCUUGAAACGCUUACACUUGAUGGGCAUGCAUUUUCUGUAAAGGAAUUUGUGUGAAGCCCCGUGACAAAGGCUGAGAGUAACCGUAAUAGCUUGCCAAAAGCUAUCGAAAACGGUCCAGAGGUGGACUGUGUUGCCUAUAGGUCGAGUGUCUAUAAA